UACGUAGGGUGCGAGCGUUGUCCGGAAUUAUUGGGCGUAAAGAGCUUGUAGGCGGUCUGUCGCGUCUGCUGUGAAAAUCCGGGGCUCAACCCCGGGCCUGCAUUCGAUACGGGCAGACUAGAGUUCGGUAGGGGAGUCUGGAAUUCCUGGUGUAGCGGUGAAAUGCGCAGAUAUCAGGAGGAACACCGGUGGCGAAGGCGGGACUCUGGGCCGAUACUGACGCUGAGGAGCGAAAGCGUGGGGAGCAAACAGG
rnacentral:rRNA from 1 species